AGAGUUUGAUCAUGGCUCAGAACGAACGCUGGCGGCGUGCUUAACACAUGCAAGUCGAGUGCGCGGUUGUAGCAAUACAACUGGCGCACGGCGCACGGGUGCGUAACACGUGGGUAACCUGCCCUUUGGUGGGGAAUAACUCCGCGAAAGCGGAGCUAAUUCCGCAUAAGAUCCGCAAGGAUGAAAGCCGAAAGGCGCCGAUGGAGGGGCCCGCGCCCGAUUAGCUAGUUGGUAGGGUAAUGGCCUACCAAGGCUUUGAUCGGUAGCUGGUCUGAGAGGAUGAUCAGCCACACUGGAACUGAGACACGGUCCAGACUCCUACGGGAGGCAGCAGUGGGGAAUCUUGCACAAUGGGCGAAAGCCUGAUGCAGCGACGCCGCGUGGGGGAUGAAGCAUUUCGGUGUGUAAACCCCUUUCGAUCCGGACGAAUGCCCGCAAGGGAGUGACGGUACGGAUAUAAGAAGCCCCGGCUAACUACGUGCCAGCAGCCGCGGUAAGACGUAGGGGGCCAGCGUUGUUCGGAAUUACUGGGUGUAAAGGGUUCGUAGGCGGUGCGGCAAGUUGGGAGUGAAAUCUCUGGGCUUAACCCAGAGGCUGCUUCCAAAACUGCUGUGCUUGAGUGUGGGAGAGGCGCGUGGAAUUGCAGGUGUAGCGGUGAAAUGCGUAGAUAUCUGCAGGAACACCCGUGGCGAAAGCGGCGCGCUGGACCACUACUGACGCUGAGGAACGAAAGCUAGGGGAGCAAACAGGAUUAGAUACCCUAGUAGUCC
rnacentral:rRNA from 1 species